CGCCCUCUCCCUCCAUUCCGAAUUACUUGUCGCAGGUAUGGAUGUAUCUAGAUGUAUUUUAGUUCUAGAUACAUCCAUUUCUUUGACGAGUAAUUUGGAAUGGAGGGAGUAGUUU
rfam:Triticum aestivum genome assembly, contig: Triticum_aestivum_CS42_TGACv1_scaffold_514090_6BS